rnacentral:rRNA from 1 species
GUACGGAAGGCAGCAGUGGGGAAUUUUCCGCAAUGGGCGAAAGCCUGACGGAGCAACGCCGCGUGAGGGAUGAAGGUCUUCGGAUCGUAAACCUUUGUCUAGAGGGACGAUAAUGACGGUACCUCUGGAGGAAGCCACGGCUAACUACGUGCCAGCAGCCGCGGUAAUACGUAGGUGGCAAGCGUUGUCCGGAAUUACUGGGCGUAAAGGGCGUGUAGGCGGCCUUUUAAGUCAGACGUGAAAUCUCUGGGCUUAACCCAGAAAUUGCGUUUGAAACUGGAGGGCUUGAGGAUCGGAGAGGGCAGUGGAAUUCCCAGUGUAGCGGUGAAAUGCGUAGAUAUUGGGAGGAACACCAGUGGCGAAGGCGACUGCCUGGACGACACCUGACGCUGAGGCGCGAAAGCUAGGGGAGCAAACGGGAUUAGAUACCCCGGU